AUUGAACGCUGGCGGCAUGCCUUACACAUGCAAGUCGAACGGCAGCACGGGAGCAAUCCUGGUGGCGAGUGGCGAACGGGUGAGUAAUAUAUCGGAACGUGCCCAGUCGUGGGGGAUAACGUAGCGAAAGCUACGCUAAUACCGCAUACGAUCUAUGGAUGAAAGCGGGGGAUCGCAAGACCUCGCGCGAUUGGAGCGGCCGAUAUCAGAUUAGGUAGUUGGUGAGGUAAAGGCUCACCAAGCCGACGAUCUGUAGCUGGUCUGAGAGGACGACCAGCCACACUGGGACUGAGACACGGCCCAGACUCCCUACGGGAGGCAGCAGUGGGGAA
rnacentral:rRNA from 1 species